AGGGAAAUUUCAUUGGCGACUACAAAAAUUGGUCGGGAAAGAAAGGUUUAAGAUUUCCGAUUUCAUUGGCUUCAGAUUUCAGAUUUCGUUUUUCUGUCUCUCACUCUUUGACUCUCUCUCUUUCUCUCUCUUUCUCACUCUCUCACGCCUCUGCCCUCCUCCAGCUCUCUCUCUCGCCUUUGUCUCCAUCGUCGUCGGGUACGGCAGCUCUGUUCUGAUAGCAGCUCUGUUCUUGACACUGGCGAGCUCGGACGCCCCUUGCUCAGAGGGGUCCAGUGGCGUAUAGAUUUGGGAAUUUUGCCUUCUUCCUCCUCCAUCGAUGAUCUUUGCCGAGUCACCACAGAUUCACGUCGGAGGGGGUCUUCCAUGCAAACUAGAGGGUAUAGUCGAAUCACCAUGGUAAAUGGAUACCGUAACAAGUGUGAAUUUUCAGUUGGAUAUUCUGUACAGGGAAAACCAACUGCGGGGUUUAUGCUUGGGAACUUCAGGGAGGGUGUGACAGCUGUUGAAGAACCUACGAACUGCCAAAAUGUUUCCACAUUGCACAUUGCACUUUGAUGAUGAGUUAGUAAACAGUGAAUUUGAGAGGAUGGCUCAAGCAUUUGCUGUGGGACCUUCUGCUGAUUCUCCUUUGCCUCUAACAUCAUUGGUAGUUCAGGUACUAACUCUAAGUACAUGUACUUGUUUGGGUCUGAUAUUUUAAUUUCUUUAUUAGAUGGGCAGUUGUACUCUAUAAUCUGUCUGUUACCAGGA